UAAACUAAAACCUGGUAUCUGCACCACACCUUAUUCCUCCCUCCAAAUCCAAACCUCCCAAACCCCCUCACAGAAACACCUACCCCUUUCCUCUUCUCUCUCUCUCCAACCCUAACCAGUCACUAGGGUUAGGGUUUUUCCUGCUUCAAAAAUUCAAGCCCUCUCUCCACCAAUGGCCAGGUACCGGAGCCGCAGCCGCAGCCUGAGCAGAAGCUACAGCCCCCCUCGCCGGCGUAGCAGAACUCCGCCACGUGGACGCAAGCGAUACGACGACGACGAGCCUCGCGACCGCUACCGUGACAGCCGCUCUUACCGAGACCGCCGCUCACCGGCUCCGUCUGGCUUGCUCGUUCGCAAUCUUCCUCUUGACGCUAGGUCAGAUGAUCUUAGGAUCCCUUUUGAGCGCUUUGGUCCAGUGAAGGAUGUUUAUCUUCCUAAGAAUUACUACACCAGGGAGCCACGGGGCUUUGGCUUUGUGAAGUACCGUUAUGCAGAGGACGCAGCGGAAGCAAAGCAACAAAUGAACCAUAAACUUAUUGGUGGACGUGAAAUAAGGAUUGUUUUUGCUGAGGAGAACAGAAAAACUCCCCAAGAAAUGCGCACAACAACUCGUGUAAGUGGAGGAAGCUCUAGAAGAAGAAGAACUCCACCUAGGUCUCCAAGACGGCAAUAUCGUUCCUACUCCCGGUCAGUUUCACCUCUUAGGCGCGACUCAAGAUAGUAAAGUGAAAAAGGAGACUUUUAUUGACUUCAGGGUUAAUAAAGUUUAAUGAGAAAAGAGAUCAUAAAAGUGAUGGCAACUUCUUUACCUUUCUACCAAAGUCUCUGCAUAAGUACUAUCUUUAUGCACCCUCAACUGUCAUCUACAAAUGGAAUUGGGUUUCGUACUCUUAUGACUUGAGUUUGUGAGGCUUUCUAUGAUUGAUUGAAGUGACAAGCUAAACUUGGUUUGAGAGAUGAUUGGAAUCAUAGUAUUCUUUUAUUUCUAUCUUUUUUUACUAACUGUUAAAGUAAGUUUUUAAUAAGAAAAUUUGUUAAGUUUGAUAUCUUGUUUUGCAUAUACGAUCCAGUAAAGAAAGAAUAUAGAGCUUAUAGUUGGCCAAAGAAAGAAAUCAUCUACAAAGAAAAGAAGCAAUUCAAAGAUUUUCACCAGUAGAGUAUGGUGACAUUGUUGAAGGAAAAGAUAUUAUCUGGUUUAGAAAGUUGGGGCAAAGAGAGCUAUGAAGUUUUCAGAUGCUGAUCAACCAGUACUAGCCUAACACUGAGUUUUUGGAUCAAGUUUCAUAUUUUUUGUUCGGAACCCUGAAAAGGUUCAGGGACCAUGGAGCUAGGGAUCAUUAUCGUUCCCCCGUGCAGUCUAGAUCAAUUUCACAAUCUCCUUCACCACACGAUGAAAGAGACUACAGGCGGUCCCCAAGUUCUAGGGAGAAUGGACGGAGUCCACGUGAUGAGAGAGA